rnacentral:lncRNA from 1 species
ACUCCUGCCUCAGGCCUCAGCCACCACAGUUGACAGGGUCCAGAGCAAAACCUACGGAAGAAGCUGCAGAGGCCAGGUGGAGGGAAGGAUGCUGAACUGGAGGAGGCCAGGAAAUUAUGAGGUGAUUCUAAGCACAUUAAAAUCUGGAUGACACUUAUCUGAAUCAUUUCGCAACUUGGAGAGAGAUGGAGAAGACACGCAUGGUGUAACUGGGCAUCACCAGAAUGUGCACUGCCAUCUGUGGCUGUCUUCCUGCUGGCAAAUCCUUUUCAUUCCAAGCAAAUAAGAUUCCCUAAAUUAGACAAAAAGGAAGAAACACAACAGAGUCCAUAAUUCUGAGAGGAAGAGAAGAGUGAUCAUCAGCAGCAAAAGGCAAUUGCAGAGAAGCACCACCAAGAGCCAGCUUCAUGCUCAGGAGUGAAUGCUGAGCCGCCUCCUCGUGGUUUCCGGUGCUCCACAUGUUCAGAGAAACUUCUCUGCUUAAUUUGCAGGCCCCCAGGUACUGAACUUAAGAGGACAGAGGAAAAGUUUUUCCUCCCUGACACUGAGCAACCAGAGGCUGCUGUUAAGUAACCUUCCCUCAUUUCUACGUCUGUCCUCUGCCCCUUCCAGCCCCUCAACCCACAUUGUCUCUCAUGUUCCUAUUCACCUAAAAGAGGAAAAUCAUAUUAUUUCAAUAAACCUCUGCCUUAUAGUUUGUAAACUGUUUUCUGUUGUUUUUUUGUUUUGUUUUGAGACAGAGUCUUG